GUGAGGAAUAUUGCGCAAUGGAGGCAACUCUGACGCAGCCAUGCCGCGUGCAGGAAGAAGGCGCUACGCGUUGUAAACUGCUUUUAACCGGGAAGAAACCCCAGGACGUGUCCUGGGUUGACGGUACCGGAGGAAUAAGCACCGGCUAACUUCGUGCCAGCAGCCGCGGUAAUACGAAGGGUGCAAGCGUUAUCCGGAUUCAUUGGGUUUAAAGGGUGCGUAGGCGGAGCGUUAAGUCAGUGGUGAAAUCCUGCAGCUUAACUGUAGACUUGCCAUUGAUACUGGCGCUCUUGAGUGCGCUUGAAGUGGGCGGAAUGUGCCGUGUAGCGGUGAAAUGCUUAGAUAUGGCACAGAACACCAAUUGCGAAGGCAGCUCACUAAGGCGUUACUGACGCUGAGGCACGAAAGCGUGGGGAUCGAACAGGAUUAGAAACCCCUGUAGUCC
rnacentral:rRNA from 1 species